rnacentral:rRNA from 1 species
AGGACGAACGCUGGCGGCGUGCCUAACACAUGCAAGUGGAGCAACGAACCAGGCUUCGGCCUGGGGCAAAGCCGCGAACGGGUGAGUAACACGUGGGUAACCUGCCCCGAUGAUUGGGACAACCCGAGGAAACUCGGGCUAAUACCAAAUGUGACCUCCGACCGUAAGGUUGAUGGGGAAAGGAAGCUUCGGCCUCCGCAUUGGGAUGGGCCCGCGGCCCAUUAGCUUGUUGGUGAGGUAACGGCUCACCAAGGCGACGAUGGGUAGCCGGUCUGAGAGGACGAUCAGCCACACUGGGACUGAGACACGGCCCAGACUCCUACGGGAGGCAGCAGUGGGGAAUCUUGCGCAAUGCGCGAAAGCGUGACGCAGCAACGCCGCGUGGGGGAAGAAGGCUUUCGGGUUGUAACCCCUUUCGAGUUGGGACGAAGCUUCGCCGGUGAAUAGCCGGCUGGAGUGACGGUACCUUCGAGAAGAAGCCCCGGCUAACUACGUGCCAGCAGCCGC